rnacentral:SRP_RNA from 1 species
GCCGGGCGCGGUGGCACGUGCCUGUAGUCCCAGCUACUCAGGAGGCUGAGGUGGGAGGAUCGCUUGAGCCCAGGAGUUCUGGGCUGUAGUGCGCUAUGCCAAUUGGGUGUCCUCACUAAGUUCAGCAUCAAUAUGGUGACCUCCCGGGAGCGGGGGACCACCAGGUUGUCUAAGGAGGGUGAAGCGCCAGGUCAGAAAAAGGAGCAGUGUCAAAACUCCCGUACUGAUCAGUAGUGGGAUCGCGCCUGUGAAUAGCCACUGCACUCCAGCCUGGGCAACAUAGCGAGACCCCGUCUCA